rnacentral:lncRNA from 1 species
GCCGUGGAAGAACUCCAUUCAGAGGCAGUCGUGAUAAACCAGAGCAUCAGCCCUUUCCGCUGGGAUACCAAUAAGUCUUGAACUUCAAAACUGCUGACCUAAAAAGGAUACUUGAGAAGAAGCAAGUCUUUCCUUUUUUCUUUUAAAGAAAGCAACACCAGAAGCAGUCGAACUUCCUUGUUCACUUAGGUGCAUGCAAAAAAGAAAAGUUUACUCUGCUUCAGGACCCUCUCUUACCCCUCAUGGCGUGAGCCUGAAGCCUGUCCACUGAGGAGCGUUCUAAGAACUUCCAGAUCAUUCCAUGGAACUACAGCAGAAAGGACCCGAGGUGAGAAGAGGGACUGUGUGAACUUGACUCUGUAUAAGCCAAGUAAUUGUCUCAGUUUCCUCAUCUGUAAGAUGUGCAUAUAAUACCUGCCUCAUAAAGAUAUUCUGAGAACUUGAUGGGCGUGUGUAUGUGAGACUCCUAAUACAUCACCCAGCACCGAAAAGGUGUUCCCGCGAUAAUGAAAUUCAAUGCAUUGAAUUUAGUUCCCGACUAUCAAAACCUAGAUGGGAGUUCCCAUUGUGGCUCAGCAGGUGAAGGACCCGAUGUUGUCUCCGUGAGGAUGCAGGUUUGAUCCCUGGCCUCGCUCCAUGGGUUAAGGAUCCAGGGCUGCGUGAGCUGUGGUGUAGGUGGAAGACGCGGCUGGGAUCCCGUGUGCUGCUGUGGCUGUGGCAUAGGACGGCAGCUGUAGCUCCAAUUUGGCUCCUAGCCCAGGAACCUCCGUAUGCCGGGGGUGCAGCCAUUACAGAGGAAGGAAGGAAGGAGGGAACACCUGGAUGGUUUUCUUUUAAGGACCUGGAUUCUUUGGGUCUCUAGCACCCAAAGACGUUCAGCCCCACGAUGCUGAGGGUGAAAUGGUGAACAGGAAGCCCCCCAGCGGUUCCUCCCUAAAACCUCAUGAGGGACCACCCACGAAGGGUCCCAGCACACCUGCGCUGCCUCAGAAGAUGGUCCCAGGUAAAGAGGUCACUCUUGCCACCCAAAGAAGCUGAGUAUUGUCUCGUCGGACGCAAAUGGGCAGAAGCCAAAUGCAACUGACCAGCACCAUGGGUCUGCAGACUUUCUGGGAGGAAACCCUUUGCAAAGCCGGAGUCAGGAGUCACGGGCAGAGAGCAGACCUCCUCAGAGACACUAUUACGGACUGUUUAGUGCGUGAAGUGACAUUUGAACCAAUCCCAUGGAGAGUCAUAACGCUGCCGGAGGUUUGUGCCAAGGACCUACGUGGAAUAUGCUCAGGAAAAUCGCCGGAACUUGAAAACCCAAAAUGUAGAAGACUUCAGACCAGACCAGAACAUUCUCUUAGCCAACCCUGGCUAAGAGUUUUUCUCAAUCUUUAGGGAGGAGAAUGUGGGAGGUUAAGCCAGAACUCCUUCGUAUAUCCUUCUGCACCAUGUGUGGCAUAAAAUUAUAAGUUAGCUGGGAGUAGCUGGAUUGGCCUUAUGUCCUCACGUGGGUUCAGGCAUUCUCGAUACUUCCUUUUGUUCGCUCUCUUCCUCGAGUCCUGGGUCACAGACAGCCGCCAGCUCUUAUUAUAGCCAGAUACCCAGGGUGGACCCCUUCUAACUCUUGCAGUUAGAGUCCUGGUGCCCGGAGUUUCCAGGUAAGCAGCAACCCUCACACAGUGUUGUCUGGGUGUGCGGCCUGUAGUAAUAGCGCACCACGCCCUGAAAGACAAUAUGCCAGAAUAUUAAACUAUCCUUCUACGGGCACCAUGUCACGUAGGACGCGAACGGCGCGGCACAAGCCGGUCCCUCUGAAGAUGUCAGGCUCCAGAGGGGCUCAGUCCGACCGAGUCCCUGCCUUCCUAUUGCUCUCAGCUUUCUCAGGCUGGUUUCUAUAUUUUGUCCUCAGGUCUGUCCCCGCCUGGAGUGACAGCAUGGUGGAGGGGACGGAUGGAGGGGCUCUGGCCUCGGGCGGAAGGGAGGGCACAUCCCACGGCUGUCUCCUUGAAUGGCUGCCUCCUCAUCCUGUGACUUAACUUUUCUGGGUCUGGGCUGCCGGCCUGGUCCAUAGGAGCUGCUCCCAGCUGUGAGCGGCUGCCCUUCGCCCCGCCCUGUGUCACCCACCCUCGUGUCACCCACCGUCUCGUUUCCCCCAUGCUGAUCCUUAAUUCAUUCUCUCAUUCUUUCUAAUCCCAGAACCGGCUCCAAGGCCUUGAGCUCUUACUCUGGUAAACACUCUUACCCCUAGACACUCCCAUUCCCUCACACGCUGACUCACCAUAAACAACCUCUGAGAGUCCCGAAACGUCCAGCUCNUUUUUUUUUUUUUUUUUUUUCUUUUUUUCUUUUUAGGGCCACCGCCAUGGCAUAUGGAAGUUCCCAGGCUAGGGGUGGAAUCAGAGCUACAACUGCCGGCCUUCGCCCCACCCACAGCAAUGCUGAAUCCAAGCCGCAUCUGUGAUGUACACCAAGCUCACGGCAAUGCCAGAUCCUUCAUCCACGGAGCUCGGCCAGGGAUUGAACCUGCGUCCUCAGGGGUACGAGUCCAGUGUGUAAUCCACUGAGCCACCAAGGGAACUCCCAUCUCCGCUGCCUUCACACACCCCCGCCCCUCGCCCGUUAUUCACCCCCCCUUUUGGCCACACCCACAGCAUGCAGAAGUUCCCGGGCCAGGGGUCAAGCCUGCCCCACAGCAGCGACUCAAGCCCCCGCAGUGACGGCGCGGGAUCCUUAAUCACAGGGUCACCAGCGAAUGGCUCUUCCUCCCUCUUUAGCAGAAGUGCGACUGGGCCCUUCGUUUCGGGGCUGUCCCCAGGGCCUCCCAGGGAUGCGGCCGCUGGCCCAGAUCUCCGUGUUCUCUCAUCUGGCUCCUGGGGGGCCCCAGACCUUUCCCAACCCACUUCCCAGGCUUUGUUUCGUGUUCCCACCCUCUGUGUGUGAGAAGGACAGCACGUGUGCUUUCUCUGCUAAAUGCCAGGGCCGCUUCUCAACCCAGACCCCGCCGCCCAUUUGUCGCCGGCGGCCCAGCAGGACGGGCCGGCCCCUACGUGCGCUCCGGCCCGCCCCUCCUUCCGCCUCAGCAUCCUGCUCGGAACUUUCUCCCGAGGAGAUGCUGUCCAUUAACUCGGACUGAACCCCGGUCUCACGGCUACGUGUCCAAAUGAAAGGGCCGUCGAGUCCGCGAGGAUCUCCCCGCUUCCUGCCAGGAAGAGGUCAGUCUCUUCUUCGCCUUGGACCCGGAGUCGCCUUCCUCCGGGAAGUGGGCGUUGCCGAUUUUACACCGUGGCCGAGGGACCAGUUCAGUCCUGGAGUUUUUACUGGGGACGCUGACUGGGGGGUUUCGACACGUGGUCAGAGGCAGGCUGUCUGCCCUCGGCCCUGCGCCCGUAACUACGUCUGGUUCACGUGCGCACCGUUCAUGCCGUUUGUGGAGCGCGUGUCUCUGAUGUGCGGUCUCCUCUCACCGAUGCCGCUGAGGACAAAGCCGUCUGCAGAGUUUAUUUGUUCUCUCUUAGGCUAAAAACAAAACCAUGGGACUGUGUGUGACCCAGGCCUGCCCUGACACUUGGAUGGGCUCUUGGUCCCCUGCAGAGAGCCCUGGUGGACCCCCUGGGGGUAUCUGAGGGGGGCCCCUUCAUCCAACCCAGGGCCCGGCGCCCUGCAGCUUUGAAAGAGGGAGCUGAGGCCCGCCGCUGUUUGCUGAUCAGAGAUGCAGGAGAGCAGCUCGUUUAUCUCCACUCCGCUCACAGACAUCUCUGGACACAUACGGUUGCUGUUUUGUUUGGACUCAUUUAGAUUUUUUCCCCCUAAUGGUUAAGAGAGAAAACAAGCUUUAAAGAUGACUUAAUCGUUGUCCCAUGUUACUUCAUGGGACAUCACCAGCCUCCCCAGAGUGCCGGGUCGGAGCAGGGCUGGUGCCUCUGGGAGAAGAUCUGGAAUUUGGAAACUUCCAGGCUGGGGGAACAGACCCUGAAGGACGGUGAGUGGGACUUUGGUUUCCCAUCUGCAAAAAUGGGAGUUACUCUCUUCUGGCUGCCAGGCUUUUACAUAAGGAAGAAACAUGAGAGUUCCCGUUGUGGUUCAGCGGGUUUAAGAACCCGACUGGUAUCCAUGAGGAUGUGGGUUCGAUCCCUGGCCUCACUCAUGGGUUCAGGAUCUGGCAUUGCCACAAGCUGCAGUGUAGGUCACGGAUGCGUGUCGGAUCUGGCGUGGCUGUGGCUGUGGCGUAGACUGGUGGCUGCCGCUCUAAUUCAACCCCUCGACUGGGAACUUCCAUGUGCCUCCGGUGUGGCUGGAAAAAGGCAAACAGAGAAAGAAGCGGACAGAUAUGGCACUGCAGAGAAGGACCUGGAUUAUUGCUGUUGUAAUAACUCUGGGCAAUAUAAAAGAGGCGUAAUAGGGCCCACUAUUCCUUCCAGGGACAGUUGCUGUUACGACUCUGGGUGACAGUGAAGAGGACAGGGAUUUGGGGAAGUGAUGUCUGGGGCAGAACUAAGCGUCGGACGGGAGAGGGUUGCCCUUGACUGGUGGUGGUUACUCCAGGAUUAGCUUUUGUCGAUUAUGUGUUACAAAUACAAUCCACGCCCAUUGUAAAAACAUGCAAACAGCAGAAAUAUGUAAAAUAUGUGAAGCAAAAAGUGAUGGGCCGACUUCCUCCGAAGGGGGUCAGCCUGCUGGUGACCAGCCACCUGGAUCCGUUCCAGGCACGCACACGGAGGACAGUUUGUUUUAAUGAAAGUUAGAUCAUACU